rnacentral:rRNA from 1 species
GUGGGGAAUAUUGGACAAUGGACGAAAGCCUGAUCCAGCCAUGCCGCGUGAGUGAUGAAGGCCCUAGGGUUGUAAAGCUCUUUCACCGGGGAAGAUAAUGACGGUACCCGGAGAAGAAGCCCCGGCUAACUUCGUGCCAGCAGCCGCGGUAAUACGAAGGGGGCUAGCGUUGUUCGGAAUUACUGGGCGUAAAGCGCACGUAGGCGGAUCAGUCAGUUAGGGGUGAAAUCCCAGGGCUCAACCCUGGAACUGCCUUUAAUACUGCUGAUCUAGAGUUCGAGAGAGGUGAGUGGAAUUCCGAGUGUAGAGGUGAAAUUCGUAGAUAUUCGGAGGAACACCAGUGGCGAAGGCGGCUCACUGGCUCGAUACUGACGCUGAGGUGCGAAAGCGUGGGGAGCAAACAGGAUUAGAUACCCGUGUAGUCC